rnacentral:lncRNA from 1 species
UACCUUUACACUCUACUUUGUGGCUCAUUUUUACAGGCUCAGGAUGAACUCGUGAAUGAUGCAAAGCCACAUGGAGAGAGACAGAGGUCUGUCUGCACAAAACUCAGCAACCCUGCUGGAAAUGCAAGGCCCGGGAGAUCAUCAUGGCUGUUUUGUAGUCAGCCAAAUACUAGUGUAUUCAAUUAACAAUCCAUGGAGCAGAGCCACAUAGCUGGCUUCAGCCAACUCCCAGAAUCACGAGAAAAUAAUAAAUUGUCAUUUUAAGUCAAAAUGCUUGGAGGUUGUUAUACACUAGUAGAAAGUCUAUAUAUAUCCUGGAAGAUCAGACCGCCCAGAUGUUGGUUGACUCACCAGUUACCAUCACUCUCUCUGUUUUUUUUUUUUUUUUUUAAAUCAAGGUGAAAAACCUGUAUGUAUCAGUGAAGAUGGACUCUAUUGAGGAGUUAAUUUCAUUCAUUUGGCUUGUCAACGUGUCUGUGGGGCAUUUUUUAUCGUUGAUUGAUGUGGGUCAUCCAACUUCUUGGCAGGUGGUCCUGGGAGGUAUAAGAAAAGCAAGCUGAUUCAGUUGGUAAGUGUCCUUUCUCUAUGUUCUCUGCUUUGGGUCCUGCUUCUAGGUUUUUUCUCUGAGUUCCUGUCUUGGCUUUCAUCAAUGACCAACUGUGAUCAGGAAAUACAAGCCCAAUGCAUUCUUUUCUCCUCAAGCUUCUCUUGGUCAUGGUCUUUAUGAGAAAACAAUCUAAGAUAACCCAAACUUUCUGUUUGUUGGCAGCUCUCUGAAAGCUGAAAAACUGAAGACAUGUUUCCUCAUUCUCUAGAACACAGCCUGUUGCUAAUUUGAGAUACUUGAGAGGAAAUGUGAUGGGUGGGAUUUUGGAAGAUAUGCUCUUCUCAGAGAGAAUGCAAGAUGAAGGAAAAUCUGCCUUUCCCUCUUCAUUCCUCUUCUUGGCCACUCUUGUGGAGAACAUUUGACUCCAGCAUACCAGGAACUAUCUUGGAGCCACCCGCAGAGUCCCAGCUGCUUUGUAGGGCUAGCAAAGCCAUUUCAAUGACAUCACAUAGGAUGAGGCAAAGCUGUACCAACACAAUGCAUAUGACAUUCAUUGUUUGGUGCAUACGCUCAUGUGUCUAUUGAGCCACAGAAGAAUUUUAAAG